GACGAACGCUGGCGGCGUGCUUAACACAUGCAAGUCGAACGAUGAAGCACCAGCUUGCUGGUGUGGAUUAGUGGCGAACGGGUGAGUAACACGUGAGUAACCUGCCCCUCACUCUGGGAUAAGCCUGGGAAACUGGGUCUAAUACUGGAUACGACCGAUCUCCGCAUGGAGUGUUGGUGGAAAGUUUUUGUGGUGGGGGAUGGACUCGCGGCCUAUCAGCUUGUUGGUGGGGUAGUGGCCUACCAAGGCGACGACGGGUAGCCGGCCUGAGAGGGCGACCGGCCACACUGGGACUGAGACACGGCCCAGACUCCUACGGGAGGCAGCAGUGGGGAAUAUUGCGCAAUGGGCGAAAGCCUGAUGCAGCGACGCCGCGUGAGGGAUGACGGCCUUCGGGGUGUAAACCUCUUUCACCAGGGACGAAGCUAACGUGACGGUACCUGGAGAAGAAGCACCGGCUAACUACGUG
rnacentral:rRNA from 1 species